rnacentral:rRNA from 1 species
AGAGUUUGAUCCUGGCUCAGAACGAACGCUGGCGGCAUGCCUAACACAUGCAAGUCGAACGAGAUCUUCGGGUCUAGUGGCGCACGGGUGCGUAACGCGUGGGAAUCUGCCCUUUGGUUCGGAAUAACAGUUGGAAACGACUGCUAAUACCGGAUGAUGACGAAAGUCCAAAGAUUUAUCGCCAGAGGAUGAGCCCGCGUAGGAUUAGCUAGUUGGUGUGGUAAAGGCGCACCAAGGCGACGAUCCUUAGCUGGUCUGAGAGGAUGAUCAGCCACACUG